UACGUAGGGUCCGAGCGUUGUCCGGAAUUACUGGGCGUAAAGAGCUCGUAGGUGGUUUGUCGCGUUGUUCGUGAAAACUCACAACUCAAUUGUGGGCGUGCGGGCGAGUACGGGCAGACUGGAGUACUGCAGGGGAGACUGGAAUUCCUGGUGUAGCGGUGGAAUGCGCAGAUAUCAGGAGGAACACCGGUGGCGAAGGCGGGUCUCUGGGCCGAUACUGACGCUGAGGAGCGAAAGCGUGGGGAGCGAACAGG
rnacentral:rRNA from 1 species